rnacentral:lncRNA from 1 species
GAAGAAUCAAGCCGGGGCCAGGUGGGGACCAGGAGCAGCAGGGGAGAUGCCAAGAGUCAACAGAUGGGAAAAAACAAGAAACACUAAAUGGGAGACUCAAUUGUUUGGGUGGAAGAAUUUACCUUCUAGCUGAUUUUUAAAAUAUUUCCUCAUCUUAAAACAAGAAAACAAACAAGAUGGUCCAUAGCACCUUUGUAAUCAGCACAAUUCAAUCAACUUCCACUAUCGUUGUUCUUCAAGUGACCACUCUGGGUGAGCUGUACUAGUUGUGAAGAGUAUUUACUUCUAGACUUCAGCCUCCGACACUUACCAGAAAAAAUAAAAGGUGGGUCCAUAUGAUAAUGUACAUUAAACACUUUCUAAUACAAUCUCAUAAAUAGAAUACAGAUUUCUCCUUAAGGACAGAGCACCAGGAGAACUAUAGGUUGUAUGAUGGUGAAUAGAGAUGUAAUUUAGGAUGGUGUGUUUAUUAAAAACAAACAAACAAACAACAACUGGAGACCAGUUAUUUUCCAAAAGAAAAUCUUAUUCUAGAU